GAUCCAAUUUUCUGCCACCGAAUACAUUAGCAUGGGAUAAUGGAAUAGGACCCUGUCCUCCUAUUUUCAGUUGGUUUUGGCAGCGCGAGGACUAGGGUAAUGAUUAAUAGGGAUAGUUGGGGGCAUUAAUAUUUAAUUGUCAGAGGUGAAAUUCUUGGAUUUAUGAAAGAUUAACUUCUGCGAAAGCAUCUGCCAAGGAUGUUUUCAUUAAUCAAGAACGAAAGUUAGGGGAUCGAAGACGAUCAGAUACCGUCGUAGUCUUAACCAUAAACGAUGCCGACCAGCGAUUAGGAGACGUUGAAUACAAAACACCACCAUCGGUGCGGUCAUCCUUGGCGUUGGUCUUCAAAAGCCAGCGCGGGGGUGGCUUAGCCCGGUGGCACCGGUGAAUGACUCCCCUAGCAGCUUGUGAGAA
rnacentral:rRNA from 1 species